UACGUAGGGAGCAAGCGUUGUCCGGAAUCAUUGGGCGUAAAGCGCGCGUAGGCGGCCCCGUAAGUCCGCUGUGAAAGUCAAAGGCUCAACCUUUGAAAGCCGGUGGAAACUGUGGGGCUAGAGUCCGGAAGAGGCGAGUGGAAUUCCUGGUGUAGCGGUGGAAUGCGCAGAUAUCAGGAGGAACACCAAUGGCGAAGGCAGCUUCUUGGCUCAUUCCUGACGUUGAGGCACGAAAGCGUGGGGAGCAAACAGG
rnacentral:rRNA from 1 species